rnacentral:rRNA from 1 species
UACGGAGGGUGUGAGCGUUAAUCGGAAUUACUGGGCGUAAAGCGCACGCAGGCGGUUUGUUAAGCUAGAUGUGAAAGCCCCGGGCUCAACCUGGGAUGGUCAUUUAGAACUGGCAGACUAGAGUCUUGGAGAGGGGAGUGGAAUUCCAGGUGUAGCGGUGAAAUGCGUAGAUAUCUGGAGGAACAUCAGUGGCGAAGGCGACUCCCUGGCCAAAGACUGACGCUCANGUGCGAAAGUGUGGGUAGCGAACAGC